UUUUUUUUCUUUCUUCUUUUUUAAAACAGGUAAAAUCGGUAUCUUCUUACCCCUAAACUAGGCAUUUAAAUAUCAAGUGCAUCUAUUCUAUGACUCCAGACUGCCUACAUUUGGAGCAGCAGUAAUACCCUUUUCUCUUCUGGAGAUAGCAAGAUUUAAGAAACAAACAAAGAAAAAAGAUCUAUUCAGGAAGCUCAUCAGGCAGAAGCAAUAUAGGUCAAAGAAAUAACAAUUGAAUAGGUUUCUAGGGCUGCUUACACUUUUACUUGUAUUUGAUGGAAGACAAAAACAGUACAAUUAGCAUGUACCACUUCCUACAGGGUGGGGGGGCGGCUACCUUAUUACAGAACAACCCUCAAGAACUAGAAAAGACAGAUAAAAUUUGAAAAAGGAGAGCUCCCGGGGCAAAGAGGACAUGUGAGACCAAGAUCCAAAAGAAAAGGGAAGUGCAAAGGUGAGCCAGAUAUUCCAUGCAACUACUCUGUAAGCAUGUAGUCAAAUUCAACGUCUAUCCAUGAAAAUACUCUUAGCCAAUUUCGAAAGUAAAGGAACUUGCUUAACCUGAUAAAGGGUAUUUACGAAACAUAGCAACCAUAAUAUUUAAUAGUCACACUUUGAAAACUUUCCCACUGAGAUUAGGAAUGAGACAAGGCUGCCUGCUAUGACCACUUCUAUUCUGUGUUAUCAUAGAGGUCUAAGCCAGCACAACAGGCAAGAAAAUAAAAGGAAAGGAAGGAAGGGAAGACUGCAAAGGAAGAAGGUAGUUUGAUUGUGUACAUGGAAAUUCCAUAAUAAUCUACACAGAAUUAUUUGAAUUAAUAAGUGAAUUUAGGAAAGUCAUUGGAUAAAUAAAAAUCAGCUGUAUUUCUGUAUACCCACAGACUAACAACCAGAAAAUAUGUUUUAAAAUGCUAUCAUUUAUAAUAGCAUCAACUGACUUCAAAUACUACAACUAUAUCUGAAGAAAGAUGUGCCAUACCUUUACCACAUGGAGAACAGAGAUGAAAGAUCUAAAUAAUUGACGGGAUACACCACAUUAAUUAAUUGAAAGAGGCAAAAUUUUAAAGACAUUAGUUUAUUCCUAAAUUGGGCAAAAUUUUAAAUACAUUAGUUUUAAAAAAAAGACAUUAGGGGAUCCCUGGGUGGCUCAGCGGUUUGGCGCCUGCCUUUGACCCAGGGCGCGAUCAUGGAGUCCCGGGAUCGAGUCCCCACGUCAGGCUCCCGGCAUGGAGCCUGCUUCUCCCUCCUCCUGUGUCUCUGCCUCUCUCUCUCUCUCUCUCUUUCUCUCUCUCUCUCAUAAAUAAAUAAAUAAAUAAAUAAAUAAAUAAAUAAAUAAAUAAAUAAAUAAAUCUUUAAAAAAAAAAGACAUUAGUUUAUUCCUAAAUUGGGCUAGAGAUUUGAUUCUGUCCCAAUCAAAAUCCCAUCAAAGAGGCUUUUAAAAUUUGUAGAGUAAUGCAUAUGUCUAAGAAUAAGACGCUUCUUAAAUAAGAACAAAACUGGACAUAUGCUAUCAGAUAUGGACUCCUUAUUGAGCUAUAUUAAGACUGUGGUAUCAGAAUAAGAAUAGCCAAAUAGAACAACAGAAAGUGCUAGAAAGCAGAUAGAGGUCUACAUAUAAAUGAUCACCUGAUUUAUAAUGAAAUGACCUUUCAGAGCUGUGGAAGAGACUUUUCAAUAAGUAGCAUAGGAGGUUAAUUGGAUAUACAUGUGGAAAACAAAAUAAAUAUGGAUCUCUUUUUUAUGUCAUAGGUAAAAAAAAAAAAAUCAACCUCAGGUGGAUUUUUUACCUACAGGUAAAAGGCAAAACAAUUGGGCUUCUACAAAUCAAAAUAGGAAAGUAACUUCAUGACCUUAGGGUAGGCAAACAUUUCUUCAGCAGUCACAGAAAACAAUAACCAUAAAGGAAGAGGUUAGCAAGUUGAAUUACACUUAUAGCAAGAUCUCCUAAUCAAAGAGAGUCAAAUGGCAAGCCACAGAAUAAUAAAAGAUAUUUUAAAUACAUAUAACUGGGUAGAAUAUUUGUAUUCAGAUUUGUUUUUAAAAAUUCCUACAAAUCAAUAAGGAAAAGACAAUCCAAUUUUAAAAUAGGCAAUAAACUUGAACAGAGACUAUAAAAGAAAACAAAAGUGACCAAAAAAAUAUUAGAAAGACACAACACCAUUAGUCACCAGGGCAAAUCAAAACCACAAUGAAGCACCACUACAUACCCACCAUAAUGUCUAAAAUUUAAAAGUUUGACAAUCCCAAGUGUUGACAAGUAGGUAGAGAAACUGAAACACUCAAACUGAUGACAGGAAUAUAAACUGGUACAACCACUUAGAAAAACUCUUUGUAAGAACUUACUAAAUUUGGACAUACAUACUGCAGUCCCAGCAAUCUGGUCUUAGGGGUAUACCAUGCAGAAAUGCAUUCACAUGUACACCAAAAAACACACAAAACAGUUUAGAGCAGCAUUAUUCAUAGUAGCCCUAAACUGGAAAUGUCCCAAAUGCCCAUCAACAAAUAGUAGAUGAAUGAACCAUCUGGAAAAUGUUAUAAAAUGGACUGCUAUACAGCAAUAAAAAGAAACUACUGCUCCGCAUCACAAUGUGGAGGACUCUCUCAAGUAAUGUGCACAAGAAGCCACAAAAAAAGGGGGUAUAUACAUAUAUCUAAAGUUCCAUGUAUAUUUCAUCUACUUUCAAAAUUGGAACACCAUGGUAUUAGAAGUCAGUUUAGUAGUUACAAUGGGGGAAAGAGAGGGUGUAAUUACUGGGAGGGUACAUGAGGUAGUUUCCAGGGGAACAGUAAUACUCUCUCUCUUGAUCUGGGAGUGAAAAUGUGGAUGGAUGUACUAUUUGAAAAUAUAUUGAGCAAUGAUUUAUGUACUUUUCUGUGAAUGUCUUACCCUCUAAAAUUGUAUGUUUAAAGAAGAAUAGUGCAAAUAUUCUGGGAGAAGGAUACAGCACCUCUUAUUCUCAAGGGGGCACCUGAGCUAUCUCAGGUAUAGCAAUGCAAAAAGUGAUGGAGCUGCAGGAUUGCAGGGAUGGUGGAUGAGCCAGAGGUGGUGUCUGUCACCAUUAGACACACUCGCUCUGGCAUCUGUGCAGCAGCUAUAGAUCAGAAGCAGUAAUCCUUGAAUGAGAAAGCUGGUAUAGAAGCAAAACGAGAUUAGAAACACACAAUUGAGGGAAUGUUUCACAUUAUCCAAAAGCUUUAUUUUGGAUAAUGAAAUUUUCCAACUCUUACACAAAGUAUCUUACAAUUUUCAAAUAGUGGCUGAAAUACUCUGCAUUCAUUCUACUGUCUAGUAAAUGAAACCCAAAGUCCUUCAACCAGGUAAGAAGAUUGAGACAGCUACUGCUUCUUAUUACCCAGUAUAUUUUUUGCUCUUGAAUUUGCUUCUUAGAGGGAAAGAUGGGCCCAUUAUCUAUCCCAGUUAGAGUAUGCUAUAUCACUGGGCAUACUAAUUGGAUCAAGUUAGACAAUCGGGACCAAUCAGGAUCCUUCCUGGAGACCAAGAUAAGGACACUGGAAAAAAGAAGACCCCUUUCAUGUGAGGGACAGUGUGAAAAGGAUAUUAGUAGGUGGACAUGAGAGACCAUCUUCUUUUUCUCUAGUGUCACCAUAGGAAGAAGUCAAGACAAUGAGGUAUCAAGUUAAAAAUGCUGACAGUCCCAUUCAAGUCCCUGGAUCCAGCCAUGCCUGAAUUCUCAGAUGUAUGAGUCACAUAAAUUCCUUUUCUUGAGUUGGUUUAAAUUUUGCUUUAAUUCAGUUCUUUCAGGUUUUUUCUAUAAGCCAGAAAGCCCUGAAUCUCCAUUAUCACCCCCACCGCUAUGUAUGUAUGUGGCAUUCAAGUACCCAACAGACUGGACCCAAUUUGAAUUUCUAGUCUUGUCCAACCACUGUCCAUCUUCCUAUGGCCAACAGCAUGUCCAAUCUCAAGCCCAGGAAACAUACUCCAUCCAAGAAUUACCAAUAAGCCAAGUUCAACUUAAACCAAUCUACUCCCAAACACACAUUUGAUAGCCAACACAUCAUUCCUGGUAUGGAUGAUUAGAAAAUACAAGAAACUGGGGCUUAGGCACAGAUUUUUGUAAAGUGGGGGAGGGAGGUUGUAAGGCAGAUGGCAGGCAGGGGAAGCGGUUUUUGCAGAGAAGCUUUUGAAAGCUACAGGAAGCCAAAGAAAUGAAAACCUGGAAUUGACAGCAUAUGCUUUGGCACGAAGCUAAAUACCCUACGCAUUGGGGUGAGACAUCUGAGAACUUCCUAAUCAGUUCUGCCAAGCAAGUUAAAUGAGGUUUAUCCCAGAUUCAUCCACUUUACCCUUGAGCCACAGGAAGAUCUGGGAGUCAGCGGUCAAGCUCUCAGUCGGAAAGUCUAAAAGGUAUUGAAUGUUUGGACAGACAGCCUGACACCGUGCAGGGAAGUAAGUACUCAUUUAUUUGCACGGGAAUUGUGCAUUGACUCUAAUAAAGCAAAACCAUUACAAGCAUUUCAGCCGGGGAGUGACCUCUUAGAAAAAUAGCAACUAGAAAUUCACUAUGACACACUCUCUAUUACCAACAGAAUGUGAAGAAAACGUCACUCUCGAUCUACUUUGUUUUCUCUUUACUUUCGGUAAACAUAAAUAUUUAUUAAACAAUAUUGCUUACCAUCUAGAUUUCCCUUAUCCCUGUAUCCCCUUAAGUUUCAAGUUCACUAACAUGGACUUGUCCUGCCUAAAGGGUUGUUAAGGACCUGAUUCUCAAGAGGGGGAUAUUCUUUGCCCACUUUUUCAUCUCUGUCCUUUUAUUUACACUGAAAUGCCUCAAGUAUAUCCUCUCUACCUCU
rnacentral:lncRNA from 1 species